UUCUAAUGUGGCAGAAUAGUGUAAUGGAUUUAAACCCCAUCCAUAAAAUUUAAUUUUCUUUAGA
rnacentral:tRNA from 1 species